rnacentral:rRNA from 1 species
GACAGAGGGUGCAAACGUUGUUCGGAUUUACUGGGCGUAAAGCGCGUGUAGGCGGCUUGGCAAGUUGAAUGUGAAAGCCCACGGCUCAACCGUGGAAGCGCAUCCAAAACUGCUUCGCUGGAGUCUCGGAGAGGAAGGUGGAAUGCUUGGUGUAGAGGUGAAAUUCGUAGAUAUCGAGAGGAACACCGGCGGCGAAGGCGGCCCACUGGACGAAUACUGACGCUGAGACACGAAAGCGUGGGGAGCAAACAGG